CAGGGGGUGCAAGCGUUGCUCGGAAUCACUGGGCGUAAAGCGUGCGCAGGCGGAACGUUAAGUCGGAUGUGAAAUCCCGGGGCUCAACCCCGGAACUGCAUUCGAAACUGGCGAUCUUGAGUGCGGCAGAGGUGAGUGGAAUUCCUGGUGUAGAGGUGAAAUUCGUAGAUAUCAGGAGGAACACCGGUGGCGAAAGCGGCUCACUGGGCCGACACUGACGCUCAUGCACGAAAGCGUGGGGAGCAAACAGGGAUUAGAUACCCUGGUAGUCCACGCCGUAAACGAUGGAUGCUAGCUGCUGGGAAGCCUUAUCUUUUCUCGGUGGCGUAGCCAACGCGUUAAGCAUCCCGCCUGGGAAGUACGGUCGCAAGACUA
rnacentral:rRNA from 1 species